GAAAGAUUCCAGCUUCUCAGAUAAACGUGCUUCUGUAAACUCUUAUGAACUUGCUUACAGCAUCUGGGUUGAGAUCAAGAGUUAUAUCCUCUCCCUGGGAACUGAUGUCUUGGCCUUAUUGAGAGUUGCUGAAAAAGUCAUGAAAGAGUAGAGGAAGAAAGAGGAAGAAAAUACUAUGGACUUAGAGAAGAAUUCAGAGGAAAAGUAAAGAUAGACACAGAAAAAGAAAGCCAGAGACUCAGGAGAUUGGAGGCUUCAUCUGUAUUCAUCAUGGUGUGACAUAAACCAGAGGAGCCACACCUUAAGACAGGCAUUGACGAGAACCAAAUUGUCUGCUUACACAUUUUGCAUAACUAAUGAUUAGAAAAGAUUCUCCGGAAGAAGCUUCUGUGAAUUUCAAGCCCUAUUGCUCUUGCCUACCAACACUUUGGUAUCAGACUACUGGGGAUUCGGGAAAUCUGACUUGAAACCAGCCUGAGGAAUACUGUGAAUAAAAGCUCUGCUUCUCAACCACCAUGAUCUAAGCAUCUUUGCUCUGCCAUGCCCUUCUGCUAUGACGUUCCUGCCUUGAAGUCAAAUAGCAAAGGGCUGAAUCCCCUGAAACUGCUGAAUGUGACAUCCUGGGGAAACUUCCUCCUGAGACACUGUGCCUGCCUCUCCUCUAUCAGAUAUUCUUAAUACUGCGGUGAUCUUCUGUUGGUCUCCCGCAUAUGAGCAUCACCGCCUAGAGGAUUCUACAGCUCAAAGGGUUAAUAAUUUCUGAAGAGGCCAAUUUGCGGUGAGAGCUGACCUGAAUACUGCUAUCCUUGGGGGCUGCUCUGGAUCAUUUGCACUGACUCAGAAACCCGGGCUUAAAGGUGAUUGAUUCUCUGGACCUUAGCUAAACUCCUGUGGGCCUAAAGAGAGACAGCUGGUAUACUAGAUGUCCAGAGAAACACACACACACACACACACACACACACGCUGGGCAUGGGGUUCAAUAAGCCCUCCCAUGGAUUCGUAUCAAAGACAGAUUCUGAAAGACAGCUCAAAGCUGAGCAGAUCCUCAUUUGUCCACAUUAUCUUUGAGAUGUGACUGUCGUCCUCAGCUUUCUGGCAGCUUGCCCAAGCUCUCUGAGGGAAACU
rnacentral:lncRNA from 1 species